CCCGGAGGAGAGGAGAAGCUGCUCACCGCCGCGGCCGCCCCGGUGGUUAGUAUAAGAGACGACUCUCUGUCCCCUUCCCCUCUUCUUCUUCUUCUUCCUCCUCCUCCGCCGCCGCCGCCUUCCUGUGCUUCGAUCCGAGGAGUUUGGGGAGCGAAGAGAGGCUCUGUCAAGAACCGGAGGAGAGAUUGUUCAAGAAUCAAGAUUGUGAGGGGGAAGAGAGAGGGAGGCUGACGAGGCGGGGCGGGACGGCGCGGGAUGGACGGCCACGGCGGCGGCGGCGGCGGCGGUAAGCUGACACGGACGCCGUCGUCGCUGCUCCGGUCGCCGACGGUGCGGACGCCGUCGUUCCAGGCGGUGGCGCUGGACGACCCGGAGCCCGACGACAAGAAGGCGCAGGCGAAGAGGCCCCGCCUGGCCCUUCUCCGCCCGGCGGCCCACCGCCUCCGGCCCGGUCCGGCCCACUCCUUUCUGCUCAUCGUCGUCGCGCUCCCUCUCCUCGCCCUCGCCGUGCUCCUCCUCCGCCGCGACGGGCACCACCUCGUCCUCCUGGCCGCCGCCGCGGGCGCCGCGCUCGCCGCGGCGGCCGUCGUCGCGCGCCUGCGCGGCCGCGUCCACCGCGCCCCCGGGGGGUUCCCCGCCUCCGUCCGGUGGUUCAUCGGCGAGGGCGACGACGACGAGCAGCAGCAGAUGAAGGGGAAGGGGAAGGCGGAUGGCCCCGCGGUGCGGGAGGGCGUGGAGUUCUACAGCAACGGCGACUGCUACGAGGGGGAGUUCCACCGGGGGCGGUGCAGCGGCAGCGGCGUCUACAACUUCUUCGGGAAGGGCAAGUACGAGGGCGACUGGGUUGACGGCAAGUACGACGGCUACGGCGUCGAGAGCUGGGCGCGCGGCAGCCGCUACCGCGGCCAGUACAGGCAAGGCCUCCGCCACGGCCACGGCGUCUACCGCUUCUACAGCGGCGACUGUUACGCCGGCGAGUGGGUCGGCGGCCAGAGCCAUGGCCUCGGCGCGCAGACCUGCUCUGACGGCAGCUCCUACGCCGGCGAGUUCAAGGGUGGCGUCAAGCACGGCCUCGGCUGCUACCAUUUCAGGAAUGGUGAUCGAUACUCGGGGGAGUACUUCGCGGACAGGAUCCACGGCUUCGGCGUGUACAGCUUCGCCAAUGGCCAUUGCUACGAGGGCUCCUGGCACGAGGGCAAGAAGCAGGGGCUAGGGAUGUACACGUUUCGCAACGGCGACAAGCGGUCCGGGGAAUGGGACUCUGGAGCUCUCAAGAAUCCAUUGCCCCUCCCCGAUCAGGCCGUGCAGCGUGCCGUGCUGGCGGCGCAAAGAGCGGCAGAUAGCGCCUUCCACCUCCCGAGGGUGGAUGAGCAGGUGAACAGGGCCGUCAUGGCCGCGAACAGGGCCGCCACGGCUGCCCGGGUCGCUGCAAUCAAGGCAGUGCAGAACAGAAUCGACGGCAAAUUCUGCCACACGGAAGCGUGAAAUGUACAAUAGAGUAGCGAAGGAUUGCAAUGGCUGAUCGCCCGAGGUUCGCGACCGGGGCGGCACAACCGCUCGCCCCGUGUCGGAGAGGUCAGUGAUUCAGUAUGAACGGCAGCCACCAAAGGGCUGAGCUGCUGCUUGUUUCCAUUCCACGGAUUGUGCCUGGUUUUGGUGUCCACUGAAUGAUGGUCAUGCUGUAAAGCUGUAGAUAGCUCCGUUUGUAUCAAUGGUGGGGGUGAUCUUUCGGCUCAAUGUGUAUCAAAUUAUCAAUGGCAGAGGGGUCAUCUUUCGAUGGAGCAAGGGGAUGGACACUUCUGUAUUUGACCCAAGAUCAACCUGACCUGCUAUUGUAGCUUUGGGAGCAUUGCAAGCUCCUCUUCUGCAACUCUGCCUCCUGCCAAAAGAUGGCCGCACUGAGAUGUUGCUGAAGAACUACUCCAGGUGCCCCAGUUUAAUCACCUUUCUCCCCAACUGCAACAAACCCUAUGAACAAUAGAUAGUAGUACUACUCCAUAGUUACAAUGAUUGCUCGCACAUAAGCCAAUAAAUCAUUUAGUGCUUGAUGGGAGCACCUUUCCUAAGGUGGUGUUUAGAUGGAGAAAAUUUUUAGUUACGUUAAAUGUUUGACCGGAUGUUGAAAGGGGUUUUCGGA